rnacentral:rRNA from 1 species
AAUGAACGUUGGCGGCGUGGAUUAGGCAUGCAAGUCGAGCGAUCGUAGCAAUACGGGAGUGGCAAACGGGGUAGGAAUACCUCGGAACAUACCCUCAGGCCCGGGAUAGCUGCGGGAAACCGCAAUUAAUACCGGAUAACAUCUCCGGAUCAAAGGUGUGAUUCCGCCUGUGGAUGAGACCGCGUCCUAUUAGCUAGUUGGUAGGGUAAUGGCCUAACAAGGCGAUGAUGGGUACUGGGUGUGAGAGCAUGACCCAGCUCACUGGGACUGAGACACUGCCCAGACACCUACGGGUGGCUGCAGUCGAGGAUCUUCGGCAAUGGGCGCAAGCCUGACCGAGCGACGCCGCGUGUGGGAUGAAGGCCUUCGGGUUGUAAACCACUGUCAGAGGGGAUGAAAUGCAUGAGGGUUCCCUCUCAUGCUUGACAUAGCCUCAGAGGAAGUACGGGCUAAGUUCGUGCCAGCCGCCGCCGUAA